rnacentral:rRNA from 1 species
CGAACGGGUGAGUAAUACAUCGGAACGUGCCCUGUAGUGGGGGAUAACUAGUCGAAAGAUUAGCUAAUACCGCAUACGACCUGAGGGUGAAAGUGGGGGACCGCAAGGCCUCAUGCUAUAGGAGCGGCCGAUGUCUGAUUAGCUAGUUGGUGGGGUAAAGGCCCACCAAGGCGACGAUCAGUAGCUGGCCUGAGAGGACGAUCAGCCACACUGGGACUGAGACACGGCCCAG